rnacentral:rRNA from 1 species
UACGUAGGGUGCGAGCGUUGUCCGGAAUUAUUGGGCGUAAAGAGCUCGUAGGCGGCUUGUCACGUCGGGUGUGAAAGCCCGGGGCUUAACCCCGGGUCUGCAUUCGAUACGGGCAGGCUUGAGUGUGGUAGGGGAGAUCGGAAUUCCUGGUGUAGCGGUGAAAUGCGCAGAUAUCAGGAGGAACACCGGUGGCGAAGGCGGAUCUCUGGGCCAUUACUGACGCUGAGGAGCGAAAGCGUGGGGAGCGAACAGG